UCCAUUUUAUACAUUCAUUUCUAUUUAUUUUUUAUUUCUUUAAAACACUGCACACAUGUGAAUCUCUCUCUCUCUCUUCCCUGUUUCCUUGUUUCUGAAAAACGUAACCACACGCUCUCACCUUGUUGCUCCAUCUCGUCACCGCCGCUGCCUGCCACCUUCAUCGCUUCCGCCGCGUUCUGCUCUCUCUCUCUCUCUCGCUCUCCUCGUUGCAAUCUUUUUCUCACGCUCACACAUAUUGUUAAGGUUGCUUCUUGAGGUUACUUACUUAGCAUGAAUGAUGAAUCCCAAGUUUGAGCACAUAUUGUGGAGCUAAGGUUCAGGACUGUUUACAUAUGCAGGAUAAAUUGCAAGCUGAAAAUACCAUCUCAACUCAUUACUAUUUCUCACUAUGCAAGUUUGACAUCUUCCUCCAAGGCUAAUGAGAAGAUGAAGAAAAUGCAAGCUGAAAUCAAUUCGCUCAAGGACAACACUUCACAAGUUGAUAUAUUGAAGGAGCAAGUUGCAUUUUUAUUGCAAAUGCAAAACUCUAGGGAAAAUCAUGUAAAUUGUUUGUGAUUAUUUUUUACUAAAAAUAUUGACUUUGUGUUAAAUGUGAGUGUGUGUAUGAUAGUAAGAUCAGUAGAUAAAAUUUUAAUUAGGUAUUAAAUGCAUUAUAGGCACUUUAAAGCAUGGUGUUUAGGAUUACCUUAUUUUUUUUAGUAUUUAUUCAAUGUAAUCACAAAACAAGCCCAACCAGGGGUUGCCACUUAUAGUGUUAUUACUUGACAUUAUUAUCAAUACAGAUGUGGGGAGUCAUGUGUGGACAA